AUUGAACGCUGGCGGCAGGCCUAACACAUGCAAGUCGAACGGUAACAGGAAACAGCUUGCUGUUUCGCUGACGAGUGGCGGACGGGUGAGUAAUGUCUGGGAAACUGCCUGAUGGAGGGGGAUAACUACUGGAAACGGUAGCUAAUACCGCAUAACGUCGCAAGACCAAAUAGGGGGACCUUCGGGCCUCUUGCCAUCAGAUGUGCCCAGAUGGGAUUAGCUAGUAGGUGGGGUAACGGCUCACCUAGGCGACGAUCCCUAGCUGGUCUGAGAGGAUGACCAGCCACACUGGAACUGAGACACGGUCCAGACUCCUACGGGAGGCAGCAGUGGGGAAUAUUGCACAAUGGGCGCAAGCCUGAUGCAGCCAUGCCGCGUGUAUGAAGAAGGCCUUCGGGUUGUAAAGUACUUUCAGCGGGGAGGAAGGGAGUAAAGUUAAUACCUUUGCUCAUUGACGUUACCCGCAGAAGAAGCACCGGCUAACUCCGUG
rnacentral:rRNA from 1 species